UGAAAAGUUGAUUAGAAACUUGGAAAAGUGAGUUUUUAUGAAAGGGUAAAAAUAUGAAAAGAAACAAUAAAAAGAAAUCACCCUUGAUACCAUAGAGCAAAGAAAAAAGAAAAGAAAGAAAAAAGCAAAUAAAAUGCUCAUGGUUGUGUGGAUGUAAAAAGAAAAAGAAAAAGAUAGGGAUCAAAGAAAGGGAAAUUAUGUAGAGUUGAAUGUUUG
rnacentral:lncRNA from 1 species